AUAAGAUAAGAUAAGAUAAGAUAAGGUCAACUUUGAACUCUGCAGUCAGUCCUUCAGUCUCGCAGAGCUUCACCUUCAUUCCAGCAAACAUGAACAAAAGCUUCGUCUUCCUCAAGUACGGCUUGCUUCUCUUCAGCCUGCUAGUUGGCAUUUUUGGAGUUGUGAUGCUCAUCAUAAAUAUUGUUUUGACGGUCGACGCCACAAAGCUGAUCGACUUCAUGUGGAUCCAAGUUCUUCUGGUGCAGCCAUGGCUCACCAUCUUUGUAUCCUUCGCCCUCGCGGCUCUGGGCACGUACGGCAGCAUCACCGAGAAGAAGACCCCGCUCAUCGUGUUCUGUGUCUUGAUGUGGAUCAUUACCGUCAUCCUGGUGAGCUACGGCACCCAUAUCGUUGUGAACGUCUCCCAGGUCAUAUCUAAUGCACCUGAAACCAGCCAGGUUUUCCACAAGCCCCUGAGCAUUGCAGCAGGACUCAUCUUUGGACUUGUUCCCUUCACGUUUGUGGGGGGGCUCUUGUCCAUGCUCAUGGUGAGGCAGAUCAAACAAAGCAGCCAUGUUCAGACUUCGAUCCCGCCAAUGGAUUCCCCUCCACUCUUGACCAGUGAAUGCUGAGACGAGAAACCUCUGCUACAUUGUACCAACUCAAUGCUCAUUUACUGUUUCUGUAACAAAUGUCACAAUUUAAUAAAAUGGAUACUUUUUUAUUUCAAUGAAAACACAUUUAUGCCUUCGAUGCUUGUCUUGAAAUGACUCCAAAGAUAAAAUGAAAUGACUCCACUCAGACCUUAAAAUGAACAUUUUUGGUUGUUUUUUGAAAGUUUUUGACCAUGUUAAGAAAACAUCUUCACGUUUUAAAAUCAAUGGGUUCAAUGAUCUAAAUUUAGAAACUAGUUCUGAAGUUCAACAUCUUCCACAGCCUGCGGUGCGGGGUCGUGACACGGGGCCAGCAGCAGCGCCAGGUCGGCCAGGUCCCCGUUAGUGGCUGCUCAGUUUGGGGCACGUCAUUUCAGAAUGGACAGUACUUCUACACACGGUCCCCAGUCUGAAACACCUGUCCCCGGCUCUGUGAAGCCUCCUCCUGCUUAUCGGUGUGCGCCUGACGAGUGAAGUCCCUGGUGGGAUGCACCAGCGGCUGGUGCAGUGGUGCUCUGGAGCACCGGGACAAACCUUCAUGAGUGGUGUAGUCUUCACAGCAGAGGACGUCUACCUCCACAUCACCACGAGAGCCAGGGCCCUUGUCAGCUGUGUCGUGCACAGACGAGUCAGACCCUCAGUGGAGCUAUUGUGGGCAACUGGUUCUGCUCCUCC
rnacentral:lncRNA from 1 species